rnacentral:rRNA from 1 species
CUGGCGGCAGGCCUAACACAUGCAAGUCGAGCGCUCACUUCGGUGGGAGCGGCGGACGGGUUAGUAACGCGUGGGAAUAUGCCCGGUACUAAGGAAUAGCCUUUGGAAACGAAGAGUAAUACCUUAUACGCCCUUCGGGGGAAAGAUUUAUCGGUAUCGGAUUAGCCCGCGUAAGAUUAGAUAGUUGGUGGGGUAAUGGCCUACCAAGUCUACGAUCUUUAGCUGGUUUUAGAGGAUGAUCAGCAACACUGGGACUGAGACACGGCCCAGACUCCUACGGGAGGCAGCAGUGGGGAAUCUUAGACAAUGGGCGCAAGCCUGAUCUAGCCAUGCCGCGUGAGUGAAGAAGGCCUUAGGGUCGUAAAACUCUUUCGCCAGAGAUGAUAAUGACAGUAUCUGGUAAAGAAACCCCGGCUAACUCCGUGCCAGCAGCCGCGGUAAUACGGAGGGGGUUAGCGUUGUUCGGAAUUACUGGGCGUAAAGCGCACGUAGGCGGACUGGAAAGUUGGGGGUGAAAUCCCGGGGCUCAACCUCGGAACUGCCUCCAAAACUAUCAGUCUAGAGUUCGAGAGAGGUGAGUGGAAUUCCAAGUGUAGAGGUGGAAUUCGUAGAUAUUUUGGAGGAACACCAGUGGCGAAGG